rnacentral:rRNA from 1 species
UACGGAGGGAGCUAGCGUUGUUCGGAAUUACUGGGCGUAAAGCGCACGUAGGCGGCUUUGUAAGUUAGAGGUGAAAGCCCGGGGCUCAACUCCGGAACUGCCUUUAAGACUGCAUCGCUUGAAUCCAGGAGAGGUGAGUGGAAUUCCGAGUGUAGAGGUGAAAUUCGUAGAUAUUCGGAAGAACACCAGUGGCGAAGGCGGUUGCCUGGAGCUUUGCUGACGCUGAGGCGCGAAAGCGUGGGGAGCGAUCCGG